GAUCAUGGCUCAGGAUGAACGCUAGCUACAGGCUUAACACAUGCAAGUCGAGGGGCAUCAGUUUGGUUUGCUUGCAAACCAAAGCUGGCGACCGGCGCACGGGUGAGUAACACGUAUCCAACCUGCCUCAUACUCGGGGAUAGCCUUUCGAAAGAAAGAUUAAUAUCCGAUAGCAUAUAUUUCCCGCAUGGGUUUUAUAUUAAAGAAAUUCGGUAUGAGAUGGGGAUGCGUUCCACUGGUUUG
rnacentral:rRNA from 1 species